CGCCACUUAGACUUUUUCACGGCAGUGUGAAGCAGCGAGAGCGUCGGUGACUGAUCGAUGUUCGUAGAGAGGUAUUUUGCAACGCCUUCGCAUCCGUUUCGUGGGAAUGUAACUCACUGGAAGGAAAUCCUGGAUGGUUUGGGAAGAAUUAGAGAAGCAGGCUUCACGGCUAGUUUUUUGUUGUUGUGUGCGUAGCCAGGUAUGGAAUUCUUCAAUUCUACGACACGACGGGAGGAAGUCUUCAGUUGCACUUCAAGAACCUUAGCAGCACCGAAACUUCGAAGCCUUGGGCCAGCUACAAACCCAUUUGCCUUAGAGUUGUUGUGUUGGAAGUCUGUACAUUGUAUGGAUCUGGGAGCCCUGCCGGCAACGCUACACCCUCGGUGUAAUAGUUAUUCGUUCUUGGACGUUGCAAUCCUGAUUUGCUUCUGUGACUUCAUGAAAGGGAUUUCUUGGUUUCGCAACUAAGAAUAUGCUGGGCUGGAUAUCUUCUGAUUCUGUGGUCAUUGUUGACAUUGUAUUGCUUCAUGGAGUUAAAAUUGGAAACAUGUCGAAUUGCGCAUUUAGAUAUUUUUUACGAUCCACAACAACAUGUGGAACUGGCAGCUAGGUAUCCAUGACCCAGUUCAGAAUGCCGUUUCACAAUUGUAAAGUUGGGACUCCGAAGAGGGAGCCAGGGUAAAGGCCGGAGGGAAAGUUACCUCUGGAAAAGAGGUUCGGUAAGUUGAUCACUAUCCUCGUGUGACAGUGCAGCACAUCUUCAUGCACGAGUCAUGUAGUGGGUUCCACGCAUUCCAUUGUUUGGUUCUCCUCACCCAAACAAAUGGAAUUGGAGUGACAAUUAAUUGUGAUAUCAGGAGUGAGCAGAGGGAAAUUAGUCGAUCUAAAUUAUUUGCGGCAUCGUUCAGUUCCACUCCCCUGUUACUUUGCAAUGUAAUGGACACGUCGGCCAAGAUAAAAUGAUUCUGUUUGUAAACUCAGAUUGAGAAUUUCAGUUUCACUACUUUUUUCGCAUCGUUA